GCUACAACAAACAGCACAAUGCAUUCAGACAAGAAGUUCAACUGUUCCUAUUGGGGUGUGAUGUGGUCUUGCGUUUCUCCCUUUUCUAUUUUUGCUUCUCUGCUUUUAUCCCCUUCUUUUCACCCGCACACUUCCCUUUCUCUUAUAUUACACGCGAUAUUCUUUCUUUUUCAUAUUAGGCGAUGGAAGAACGAGCGAUAGACAUUCAUUUCAUGUUCUGUUUAAGCUUGAGACUCAUUUCAAAUUCACAAUCUCGUUAUUAUAGAUAUGAAAUAUUGUUAAUUCUGAUAAGAAAUGACUUGGUGGCUGAAAAAACCUUACCCAACUAAAGGCUACAGGAAAAUUCCAAAAGAUAAAAGAUUAGAUAAGAAAUACAGUUCUUUGAAUGCACAAAAUGUUUGGUGAACUAAUUAUCAAAGAAGCAGUGUCUUGCGCGCAGCAAAAAUGUUCCACUCUAUUAUGUUGAAAUAUUGACUUGGCAACUAAGUGGUUGCGGACUUUGCCGAUAGCGUCUAAUGACAAAAUCCGCAAUCACUUAGUUGCCAAGCCAAUAUUACAGAAAACGAAAUAAAUGUCUACCAUGAACGAUCCUCCGUUGGCUGUGAAAAAUCGACGGACAAGCGAGAUGCCACGAGGAUAAGCAACGAGUGUAAUCGCGGACGGCUACGAAAGAAUGAGAGAGAGAGAGAAAGAGAGAGAGAGAGAAAAAAAACGAGACGUGUGAUCCUGUGUUCAAAGGAAACGAUCGAAAAUUGUGAACGCAAAACCAGCUCGUCGAUGAUCUUCGACGGGACACAAGCGAUCAUUACGUUCGAGUAGGAAGAACAUGCUCGUACGAUAUUCUGGACAGAUGGAUCAAGGAUGACAGAUUUUUUACGCUUGUUGGUCUCGACGAUAAAUGUUCGCCGAUCGACACUCACCGACGCUCUCCGGCGCUGUCAUCGCUUGUAAUAUCCUGAACGAUCUGGAGGGAAUCGCGCUGCCCAUGUAUUUCUUUGGCUCUGGAACCUGUUGCUCGCUUGGUGGUAAGUUCGCUUGCGUUUCUUCUGCAAAUAUUAUAUUUAUCAUAUACAUCUUUUAGGAUUAAUGAGAAGCUAAUCUUGCUUCAAUGUAAUGGAGAGCUAAUCAGAGAAAAAUGACUAACAAGUUUACUUACCAAACGUCUUUGAAUUCCUGUUCUGCUUCUUGUUUAUGGCGGAUGGUGGCCGUGACGCUGCAACGUACGAUUUUAUUUUAUAAUUUUAUAAGUAGAUUCUUUUAUAAGUAGAAUUUUGUUGUACUAUCAGUACAUUCGUUACGUGCACACGAUAUGUAUUUUACAAAUACUAAUAAUACAGAGUUGUACCUUUAUGGUCGAUGGAUUCCAUGGAAAAGUGGUAGAAGUAUACGUUUUUUAAAAACAAGAUGAACACAUAUGAAACGAUAUAUAUAUAAAAUUGAUAUUUAUCUAUAGAAUUUUGUUAGAAAUUUCCAAGCUUCCAUAACGUUAUAGUAAUAAAUUUAAUGUUUAGAAAGAUACAGAAUUUUCUACUGACAUUUCAUUUUAUCUACAAUUUUCAAAGUCAUGUUUUAACUAUUUGUACCACUUUCUCUCUGAGCCUGUCAAUCGAUUGAAACGUAAAAAACUUACUCGUGUUCACAGCAGGAGCAUCACCGGACUCCGUCAUAGUUUGUAGGAAGCGGAAAGCUCGAGAGGGUAUAGCACCACCACGAUAUCUCGGAUCUUCCUCGUGAUGAAGAGAAGAUUCAUUGUCGACUAUAGAAAGAAGAACACGUAGUAAUAACAGAAUAAUCAAACGAUAAAAAACCACAUCAUUCUGGUAAAAUACGAUCUUUACUUUG